UCGAGCCGAACCCAGCCGAAUCGAGCCGAACCGGGACCCUCCGCCCCCCCCCCCCCCGCCUCUCCCCUCCCGUCCCUCGCCGCCACCGCUUAUCGAGGGACGACCGUGAGACAGACACUUCGGAGAGAACGCAAAAGCGCGUGUGACCGUCAAGGGUUUCAAAAAAAGGUUACUGGACGUCCCCAAUGAACUGGUACAGCGUCGCCGUCCUCCCAUCCACCUCUAGUUUCCCAAGAAAGUUGAAGGCGCCUCGCCCAGGCAGCUGCGACUGUCUUGGCUUCGUUAUUGUACAUUAAAGACAUGGGUUGGGGUAUUCAGAAUACCUUGCCCGUAU